CCCUUAGAUGUUCUGGGCAGCACGCGCGCUGCAAUGGUCUUCGCAAGCGGAUGCAUUCUCGAAGGAGAAUGCCAAUCUUGGAAUCUAUGCCUUGGUCGGGACAGUUGCUUGCAAUUUUUCGACUCGAACCAGGAAUUCCUUGUAAUCGUGAUUCAUCACAUCACGAUGAAUACGUCCCUGCCCUUUGUACACACCGCCCGUCGCUCCUACCGAUCGAAGAGUUAGGUGAAUUGUUUUGAUCGAUAAGAUUUGACUAUGGUCAACUCUCGUUGUGAAAUUCUGUGAAUCUGACUGUUUAGAGGAAGGAAAAGUCGUAACA
rnacentral:rRNA from 1 species